rnacentral:hammerhead_ribozyme from 1 species
AUCCGACUGACGAGUCUUGAGUAGGACGAAACGCGCGUUCUGGAU